UACAGAGGUCCCGAGCGUUGUUCGGAUUCACUGGGCGUAAAGGGUGCGUAGGUGGUGAGGUAAGUCGGAUGUGAAAGCUCGGAGCUCAACUCCGAAAUGGCAUUGGAAACUACCUUGCUCGAGGGUUGGAGGGGGGACUGGAAUUCUCGGUGUAGCAGUGAAAUGCGUAGAUAUCGAGAGGAACACCAGUGGCGAAGGCGAGUCCCUGGACAACUCCUGACACUGAGGCACGAAAGCUAGGGGAGCAAACAGG
rnacentral:rRNA from 1 species